AUGAUUUGUGGACCGUCGGUCUACCGAGCAAUCUCACCCGCUUAGUGGACGAUCUUCCCUUUGUCGU
rnacentral:pre_miRNA from 1 species